GACAGUUGGGGGUAUUCAUAUUUCAACGUCAGAGGUGAAAUUCUUGGAUCGUUGAAAGAUGAGCUUAGGCGAAAGCAUUUACCAAGGAUGUUU
rnacentral:ncRNA from 1 species